rnacentral:rRNA from 1 species
UACGAAGGGGGCUAGCGUUGUUCGGAAUCACUGGGCGUAAAGGGCGCGUAGGCGGUCUCUUAAGCGUGUGGUGAAAGCCCGGGGCUCAACUCCGGGUCGGCCGUGCGAACUGGGGGACUGGAGCUUGUCAGAGGCAGGCGGAAUUCCGGGUGUAGCGGUGGAAUGCGUAGAGAUCGGGAAGAACAUCAGUGGCGAAGGCGGAUCUCUGGGCCUUACCUGACGCUGAGGCGCGAAAAGCUAGGGGAGCAAACAGG